rnacentral:rRNA from 1 species
UGGCGGACGGGUGAGUAACGCGUGGGUAACCUGCCCCAUACAGGGGGAUAACAGCCGGAAACGGCUGCUAAUACCGCAUGCACAUGCGGGGGCGCAUGCCCCUGGAUGGAAAGCUUUCGCGGUAUGGGAUGGGCCCGCGUCUGAUUAGGCAGUUGGCGGGGUAACGGCCCACCAAACCGACGAUCAGUAGCCGGCCUGAGAGGGCAACCGGCCACAUUGGGACUGAGACACGGCCCAAACUCCUACGGAAGGCAGCAG